CGUGUUUGUGACGUCAUAAUAAGGCGACCACCAAAAACGUAUGGAACUGCGUAUAGUGUUUCACAAGUCAAGGUCCUAAACCACUGUAUCCGGCCCUUAAUGUAAUUAUACAUGUAUAUUGAGCGAAGUAACGCUUGCAGGAUCUAUACAAGAGCUCCGGACCCCCAAGUGUCUUGCGACUUCCAUGCUCGUUCGUUCCAAGAAUUCAUCUGCCCUCUUACCACAAAAACUCAUAGCUACGGCCCUGAUGUAGUGUUAUUCACAGUACAGAAGAAAAAAAAACAGAAAAAAAUGUAUGGCGGAGUAAUGGAGUGUUUCCAAUUACAGCAGCAGAACAUCCCAGCAAAAAUUGCAGGAAGCUGUACCGACUAUGCUAAAUGAUGCCCCCUUACUUGCCCUAACGUCGAUGGUUUCCCAGACUGUGGUGACAGUUGUGUCAUGUUGAUAGAUAUUCCAGCUCCAGUGAGCCCUUUAAUAGGCUUGUGUCAACAUGUCAGCCAUCAGAGAGGCAGUGAGCAGUCCCCCGACAUGCUCGUCAUCUGGAUUCCAUUACGAUACAUCACUUGUCUGAAAACCACUGAAUCAGAUACGUCAAAUUCCAUUUGGUGCGUUUUACCGGUCUCGGUGGCGCAGUGGUUAAGCCAUCGGACUACAGGAUGAUAGGUACAGGGUUCGCAGCCCGGUACUGACUCCAACUCAGAGUGAGUUCUUAAGGGCUCAGUGGGUAGGCGUAAGGUCACUGCACACUAUUCUUUCUCACUUACCACAAACCAACUAACAACUAACCCAAUGUCCUGGAUAGACAGCCCAGAUAGCUGAGGUGUGUGCCCAGGACAGCGUGCUUGAACCUUAAAUGGUUAUAAGCACCAAAAUAAGUUGAAAU